AUGUGGGUGAUGAGCACUUAUCUCUGGAUUUCUUGAUUUUGCAGACUUCAAGGAAGUCCAGGUAGAGGUUGAUGGCCAAUGACUCCAGCCUUCCCCAUGAUGGGUUGGUAGGAAUCAAAUUAGAAUUCCUUUGUUUAUCAGGCAACUUUGUUUUAAGGUGGUUUGUUUUUUGAUUAUGAAAAGGAAGAGGCCACCAUGGCCCUUCUGUGAGUUUGUAAGUUUUGAGCAGUGUUUUCAUCACCAGUCCUGGGAGUCUCUGAUCCAAUCACCAGUCUGAAGGUGUUUUUUCCUACUUUUGCAAGUAACUAAGUACAGAAGAAUAGAGUUCUUAAUGUAUUCAAAAUAGUAAGUAGAUCCCUGAAUAUAGGCAAUAGUAGUUGAAAUAUUUUCUCAGAAAAACAAAACAACCAGGAAACCCACUCCAGUAUUUAUAGAUCAGAUUAUCAAGGGAAAAAAGUGAAUAUGCACUCCAUAUAUCUCUAGUUCAGUUACCAAACUUGAUCUUAUAAAGAAACCUCAGUUGUAUGGACAGAAUUAUCCCCCUCCCCAAUCUUUUUCUGGUGCCAUCACCAUCUUGAAGGUCUAAGAGCCAGGAAACAUUGUAGUCAUCUCAGCAGUGUGCAGACAGCUGCCGUCCUGGUUACCCCAAGCCCACCUUUCAGGGUCGGUGAAACCUUUUGGUGCCCCUCUUCAGGAGCUCCAGACCAAACCCCAGGCCACUCCAUGCACCAAAAGCCUUUUAGAAGGCUUCCCAGUCUGUUAGGAUGUCUCAGGAGACAUGAGCCAUUUCGUGGGGGAUGCAUGUACUCACAGAUGGAUGUGUGCACUCUGCUUUGUGGGCUUUCUUCUCAGAGACAGCACAGCUCCUGCGAACUGAUCUCGGUGAGCUGCUCAGACCAGCGAGUAAGCUGGCUCUGAGGCAGAGCAGAGAAUGACAGGAAAGAUGAAACCAAAAAUGCUAUAACUCUCCAAUGGAAAGUAAUGUUGAUGCAGCAAUUCCCAUUGGAUGUAUUACACUCUUCUAAUUUAUUGUUUGUCUCUUAAGUUUUACCCAUUGUACUCUUUAGAAGAUGUUAGGAUGUUGGUUGCAGGUUUUUUUUUUAAGUAGAUGAUGUGGGAAUCAGUUUUAAUUCAUGUGUGGAUGUGUCUAGUUAUUGUUAAAUGCCCUUUUUUUCUACUUUUUAAAAGAUAUGUAAUAUUUCAUAAUCCCUGGCACUGGUCAAAAAAAAAACACAGCUGUGAAAAGUAAAAUUGUAGUAUUUUUUAAAUGAAUGUCAAUUUCAAGUGUAUUUGAAAUGUUUCCUCCAGUAGACAGAUUUGAACACCGUUGGAAAAGACUCCUUUGCAGAGGAACUAGCCUUUGGAGAAAAUGGACUGUGGGUCUGGAUAUGUUAUCUCAGAGUAGCCCAUUUCAUAGGGCACCGUGACAACACAAAUGUGAUCUUUAAGUAUACCUCUUCCCCCUGGGGAGGGAAGGACUUAGUUUGCACCCUUUUUGUAUGUAAAAUAAAAUGUCCUACCUUUCUUGGCU
rnacentral:lncRNA from 1 species